CCUACGGGAGGCAGCAGUGGGGAAUAUUGGACAAUGGGCGAAAGCCUGAUCCAGCAAUGCCGCGUGAGUGAUGAAGGCCUUAGGGUUGUAAAGCUCUUUUACCAGGGAUGAUAAUGACAGUACCUGGAGAAUAAGCUCCGGCUAACUCCGUGCCAGCAGCCGCGGUAAUACGGAGGGAGCUAGCGUUGUUCGGAAUUACUGGGCGUAAAGCGUACGUAGGCGGUUAUUCAAGUCAGAGGUGAAAGCCUGGAGCUCAACUCCAGAACUGCCUUUGAAACUAGAUAGCUAGAAUCUUGGAGAGGUGAGUGGAAUUCCGAGUGUAGAGGUGAAAUUCGUAGAUAUUCGGAAGAACACCAGUGGCGAAGGCGACUCACUGGACAAGUAUUGACGCUGAGGUACGAAAGCGUGGGGAGCAAACAGGAUUAGAUACCCUGGUAGUCCACGCCGUAAACGAUGAUAACUAGCUGUUCGGGCUCUACGAGCUUGAGUGGCGCAGCUAACGCAUUAAGUUAUCCGCCUGGGGAGUACGGUCGCAAGAUUAAAACUCAAAGGAAUUGACGGCUGAGACGNGCGAGACGACGACGAGGGAGAG
rnacentral:rRNA from 1 species